rnacentral:ncRNA from 1 species
CCAAAGGCUCUUUUCAGAGCCACCCACACGCGCGCUUAAAAGAACU